rnacentral:rRNA from 1 species
CCUACGGUGGACUGCAGUGAGGAAUAUUGGGCAAUGGGCGCAAGCCUGACCCAGCAACGCCGCGUGAAGGAAGAAGGCCCUCGGGUUGUACACUUCUUUUAUCAGGGACGAAACAAAUGACGGUACCUGAUGAAUAAGCCACGGCUAACUACGUGCCAGCAGCCGCGGUAAUACGUAGGUGGCAAGCGUUAUCCGGAUUUACUGGGUGUAAAGGGCGUGUAGGCGGGAGAGCAAGUCAGACGUGAAAUUCCAGGGCUCAACCCUGGAACGGGGGUUGAAACUGUUCUUCUUGAGUUAUGGAGAGGCAGGCGGAAUUCCGUGUGUAGCGGUGAAAUGCGUAGAUAUACGGAGGAACACCAGUGGCGAAGGCGGCCUGCUGGACAUUAACUGACGCUGAGGCGCGAAAGCGUGGGGAGCAAACAGGAUUAGAUACCCUUGUAGUC